GAGAGACCUUAUACCUUUGCAGAGGAUGAUCAGAGACUACCACAACAAGAAUUUAGAAGAUGCGAUAGGCGAAGAUGACAAGAAUAAGCUGCUUAAAGCGAUUCAAGCCAUAGAACAAGAGGAAG
rnacentral:SRP_RNA from 1 species